rnacentral:rRNA from 1 species
GACGAACGCUGGCGGCGUGCCUAAUACAUGCAAGUAGAACGCACAGUUUAUACCGUAGCUUGCUACACCAUAGACUGUGAGUUGCGAACGGGUGAGUAACGCGUAGGUAACCUGCCUGGUAGCGGGGGAUAACUAUUGGAAACGAUAGCUAAUACCGCAUAAUAUUAAUUAUUGCAUGAUAAUUAAUUGAAAGGUGCAAUUGCACCACUACCAGAUGGACCUGCGUUGUAUUAGCUAGUAGGUGAGGUAACGGCUCACCUAGGCGACGAUACAUAGCCGACCUGAGAGGGUGAUCGGCCACACUGGGAAUGGGACACGGCCCAGACGCCUACGGGAGGCAGCAGUAGGGAAUCUUCGGCAAUGGACGAAAGUCUGACCGAGCAACGCCGCGUGAGUGAAGAAGGUUUUCGGAUCGUAAAGCUCUGUUGUAAGAGAAGAACGGGUGUGAGAGUGGAAAGUUCACACUGUGACGGUACCUUACCAGAAAGGGACGGCUAACUACGUG